AACGCACGAGACCUGCGGACCUGCGGAGGGAUCAUUACUGAAUGUUACUACAACUAAACCCUUGUGAACUUUGCUAUGUGGCUGCCUCGGCAGGUAACCCCAGGGCGGGGUUUUGUGCUUGUUUUACAGGCACCUGCCAGUGGUAGACAAUUUUUCAAACUCUAAUUUAUUGAACUUCUGAGUGUCUCAAAAAAUAAGUCAAAACUUUCAACAACGGAUCUCUAGAUCGGAAGAGCACAC
rnacentral:misc_RNA from 1 species